GAUUGGGUCAUUCGUGUCCAAGCAACCGUACGCAUCAGAUCGCAUCGUGCUGUUUUGUUCCGUUUCUCGCGCGCGCCAACUCACAAACAUACGCACGCACACAUCCAUACGCUUGCGUAGCCUUUUCCUCGAGGUUGUUUUGUGUUGUUUUUCUGCCAAGAAAGUGUGCGGCCGCCUUUUCUCCGUUCGUUCAUCGAAUCGCGGGUUCGCGCACUGCUGCGAGAUAUAAAUAAGAACAGUUAGAAGAAAGACAUUUCGCGCGCGCACAUUUCGGCCCGAAAAAGAGAGUGUGUACUCCUUCGGUGUGUUUUCGCGUUUUCUUCGUCGUUUUGGUGGCAACUGUGUUUGUGCGCUUUUUUCCGCUCGCUACUCAACCGCUGGGAUCGAGCGUUGUGUAACCACUUGGUACUUUGGAGCAGUGGAAGCGAACAGCAAGUGUGGAAAGUGCUUUGAUUGUUGUCUGUUUGAUUGUACGGAUUUUUGUUGAUUGUUAUUUGUCAAACGGGUGCUAUCGGACAAAUUGUCGAGAUUUUCGAGUGACCCACGUCCAGAAGAGGCAGAUCCACUCGAGACAGUCAUGGGGAGCUGAUUGAGUGUAAAUAUUUGUGCCAACAACUACACUAGUGUGAAAGCCACUUUGCAGGAGUUUAUUGCAAGGAGCUGGCUAAACCUGAGUGGAUGUUUGCUGAAAGUGUUAAGUGAAGAAGUACAGUACUCGAACGAAACCUAAGGCUGUGAAAAAAGUGCCUGCUAAGAAACACGUAACUAGAUAUAUUAUGUGCUUAAGUUUUAUUUGGUGAAAGAGUUUAAUAGAAUAUAAAAAAGGAAUACAAUGACAGCGAGUAAGAUAUCCCGCCCGAACAGCUUCCUGGGGAGUUCAGCAGCGACUCCACGGAACAGUUCGUUCGAUAACUACCGGAGCCAGGUGCCACAGAACGUCAAUCGGACGAAGCGGUGCCUCUUCGGAAUGCCAGACUCAAACGAAACAAAAAGACUGUACAAUGAAAGUGUACAACAGGAUCGUCAGCGAUUCAUCCAGCGGUAUAACUUUGAUACCGUGGCAGGUCAGCCUGUCAGAAGCUCGUCAAUGAUCUCAUCAUCGUCGUCAUCGUCAUCUUCAUCAUCACGCAGUAGCCCUUCCAGGGAGUACUGCAGGCCGAACGAAGCGAAGGGGCUAGGCAAAGAUGACUCCAAGAAGCCUUACACGAGACAACAGCAGAAAUAGUCGAUAGAUCUGCCCAGCAUCGCCAGCCAACGCCUGUACUUCAAAGGAUACGGCGCCGCUGCAACGGAAGUCUUCCAUAGAGCAACCGUACGGAGAAUCAGAUUCUUCCACCAACCACCAACCCCUGACUUUUCCGCAGCCGAAACGCAGCCUGUUGCGAUUUUGGACCAGCGCAACAGUUUUACCUGGAACCAUUUUAACCAGUCUUAACCUAGCAUCUUCAAAUUAAGUUACAUCCAGUGAUCCUCCCGGAAGCUUUGCGAAAUGCUCCUGCCCAAAAAGGGGGUAGCAAAGCACCGUCGAGAGGUUUACCCCUAACUUUUACCCCUGAUACCGCAUCACUUGGUAUCCCAAAAACCCACUGUAACGAAGUCGACGAGCAAGCAACGCGAAUUGGCACAAACAUUCUUGUGAUAUACCUUCUAAACUUCAAAAAACGACAACCACUUGCGGUUUGUGCGAUCAACAGCAACAACGUUGAUUCGGGGCGCGAGAGGAGCACGCAAAAUGAGAGAAAGAGAUUAUGAGUGUGUAUGAGAGCGAGAAAGAAAGAGCGAGAGCGAACGCAAAUCUUCCCACACGUGCGCGCACUCGGCGACGAUUCGGUGAAGCGAACAAUCCUUUAUUGUUGUAUUAAUUUAUAGCAAAUUUUGUUGAAUUAAGAUCGAAAAUUUAAUUUCUAUUUUGAAUAGUCGUUAAGGACCUACAGAAUAAACAAGUAAAAUUUUUCUCAUUGGGUAGAGUUUUAUUCUAGGAGUUUCUCUUGAGUUUGUGACAGGGCAUCGUUUGAACCUCUCUCCUCGUUUUGGAUUAAUCAUCAUCUAGGGAAAGCGUUCCAAUGAUUCAUCCUAGUGCACCUAUGUUCGAAAAAGAAUAAUUUCAAACUGUGCGAAAAUCGCAUGUCGUCCAAAAAGAUGAAUAAGGGAUAGUGAGAUGAGCUAUGGAACAGUAACCCUCGAUUCAAAUCCAUUGCGAGAAGAUCGAAGUUCGAACGAUGCACGGAAUCACCCUCAAGCCUUUCGCUUUCAUUAGAUGUUUCUUUUCUUUUGUUUGUUUUAGCUACUCAAUCAAAGAAAGAGAGAGAAAAAUAAGGAAAAUUCAUAGUGAUCUCAUAAUUUAAUUGAUAAUUGUUUUCUAUUACUAUUAUUAUUAUAGCGGAAACGCAGUUAGCAGAGUAACGAGUAGAAUUUAGAAUAAUCAGAAAUCAAAAGCGCACACACACAGACAUCAGCCAAUCGAAAGAAGAUUUCUUAGGUACAAAGCUGCGAAUGCUUAACCCCGAUUAAAUCCGUACUAAAAAAUGUUAGGUCCACAACAUUUUGCUUCGUUUAGGUCCACAAAAUUUUGCUUUUUGAAAAUUUUAGACUUAAUUUCCCAUCAAUUGCUGAUAAUUACAACCCGACAGCAACUACUUGCUGUUGGGGUUUCAUAGGUUAAUUAAACUACCGCUGAAAAAGGAAAGAGAGAUCUUCAUUUGCCAUCCGGCAAAAGUGAAACAUGACUGGUUCAUUUUUGUCAUUCUUAUUGGAUUACGUAGCGAGUUAGAAGUGAAUAGGAUUGUGCAAACUUCAUAUGUUUUGAGAUUAAGUAUGCACGUGUUAGUGAACAGAGCCAGCUUAAGCUACAAUUAUGUACCAUUAUAAUAUGUUUUUUUGCUAUCUUUAUCACAAUCAAAACAAAACGAUAAAAACAACAAUUUAUCUUUUUGCAAUAAAUAGCAAUAAUUAUGAA